UGACUUGGAGUCAAGAUGUGCUGUACAGUUUGGUGCUGAGUGCUCUGGACGCCCCAGCAGGGCCGGAGAAAAUCUGCAGAGGCAGCAGCAACUGACCCUAACAGAGCAAGAGGCCUGACCUUCACACCUAUGUAACCCAAGGUCACAGAAAUGCUGAGGGGCCAUGUGACUCCAGUGAAGCAGGAGUAUCCAUCCAGCCACAGAGAUGGGACCUGUCCAAAUGGGACCUGUCUGUUCCAAAGGUUAUUCUGCUUGUUCUGGAGACUGGGAAUUCCAAGAGCAUGAUACCAGCAUCUGGCGAGCGUUAUCCCCUGGUAGGAAGUAUCACAUGCUACAAGUAAAGCACUUGGAAUGGUAGAGUGCUUCCCUCAAUGGAUGGAAGGAGACUGGAUCCCUCUGACACUGACUGGAAGAGCUCUGCUAAGCAAAGCUGCGAGCUCAUGAAAGACUGUGAGGAGAGUAAGAGGUAACCUUUUAUUGUGUUAAGUCAUUAAUGUCAGGGUUUACUUGUUACUACAGCAUGGCUUCCUCUAACACCUCCUCUUAUCAACUGCCUUUUCUGAGUCUUUCCUUGACUCAUGAUUUUGAGUUAACUUAGUAAACUUACCAAAGGCUGACUUUGCACCAAGAAUCAUUAUAGGUACUGGAAAAUUUAAAAGAUGAAGGAGGUGGAGUCAUUUUUUCCUAAGGAGCUGGGAGAGGAGAUAAGAAAUGGGAUCAAAUAAUGAACAACAAGUUUCAAAGGGAUCAGAGUCCAAUAAAACCUGCCGCCUGAGCUCUUAAGAGAGAAAUGGAAAUCGUAGUUGUGAACAUCAGGCUUUCUAGAAGUGGCUGUACCAACAUCAGCCUUGAAAGAGCUCAAUCCAGCAGAUCCUGUCCCACUUGGAACCUGGCUAUGAGUGAGAAAACAUCUGUGGUUGGAAAAUGGGGCUGGUGAUUCAGGCCUGUUUGGGAAGAAGAUGCUCUUGAAUGCUUUGCUCAACAAACACCUCCCUUCUGCAAGGAGGUGAGAGGUCAUCUGUCUGUCUACUUUGACACUUUCACCCACUGAACUUCAGGGCUUAAGACACCUUCCCCAUAAAUUGGAGUGAGCGCGGCACAAACUGUCCCUGAAUUUGACCAUAACUGACUCACCAAAGGUCUGAGUAGGGGAGAAGGCAAAAACAGACAAACAGGCACUGAGGACUUUGCCAUCCCAGACCUGUGUCAUGUAAACAGGCUGUCUGCUUCACAGCCAAGGAAUGAGCCCUGGACGUGGGUCGGAACUGGAGCCUUAACAGCUAAUACCCAGAGCCUUUGACUGUGGACGACUGUGUUCAAAGGGGCAGGCUGCCCACUACUAGGGCAUGGAGGAGAGGCAGGAUGUGGGGAAAGAGUGUGGUUUUGGAAUCAGACACAACUGGUCCCCGCCACUUACUCAGCCUUGUGACCUCAGAUGAAAAAGUCUCUUAUUCUUACUAAGGCUCAGUUUCCCCAACUGUGAAACUGACAUAACACUAUGGACUUCAAAAGGCUUUACAAGCAAAACAAUUUAUAAAACAAUUUAUUCAACAAUUUAUUCAGGCACUUAGCACAGUGCUAGCACAUAGAUAUAAGUAACAGUUUUUUUUCUCUGUUCCUUCUACGUGGAGGAGAGGCAUCUGUUGUCUCUUCAAGUUAAUUAAUUUGAAAAUAUCCAGUAGCAACCAUUUCUUAAAUUCCUCUUACGAGCCAUUUAGUUUUGCAACAACUGCAAGAUAGACAGUAUUAUUCCCAUUUUACAGAUAUGGACAUUGAAGCUCAGGAGGUACACCGGAUAUAGUGACUUUGAUCUUCUCAUUGCCCUGACACUGAUGAGAGAGAGAUAACAAAAUCAAAAAGAACAGUUGGAGGAAUAAAUGUCAAAUAUAGGAGGCUGGAAGCAUAGUCUCUAACCUCAGUCUAGCCUCGGAUAAUAGCAUUUUCAUCUUGCUACAGCAGUAGCAGACACCAGCUGGGUGCCUUCUCCCUAUUUUAUUCAUUUGUAUGUUCAUUGAGCAAUUUAUCUAUUGCUAAUUCCUUAGCAAGCAUUUACUGUGACCUUCCUUUUAUUAUUACUAUUAUUAUUAUUCAUUUUAGAGACAGGGCUAUGCCAUUAUGUUGCCUACGCUGGAGGGCAGUGGUUAUUUACAGGUGUGAUGCCGCUACUGAUCAGCAUGGGAGUUUUGACCUGAUUCAUUUCUGAUCUGGGCCCAUUUGCCCCUCCUUAGGCAACCUGUGAUGCCCCACUCCCAGGAAGUCACUGUAUUGAUGCUGAACUUAGUGUGGGCACUUCAUGGGCACAGCACACUACAGCCCAGAACUCCUGGGCUCAAGUGAUCCUUCCACCACAGCUUUUCCAGCAGCUGGGACUACAGGUACAUGCCAUUGUGCUCAGCUACUGUGUACUUCCUAUGUCCUCAAAUCCUGCUACUCAAAACAUAAUUCCUAAGCCAGAAGCAUCAGCAUCACUGAGAGCUUAUUAGAAAUGCUGAUUCUCAGGCCUAACCUCGGACCAACUGAACCAGAGAAUCUGCAUUUUAACAAGAUCCCUGGGUGAUUCACAGCAUAUAUGAAAGAUUGAAAAUUGCUAUCCUUGAUGCUUUUCUUUUUUUUUUUUUUUUUUUGAGAU
rnacentral:lncRNA from 1 species